UACAGAGGGGGCAAGCGUUAUCCGGAAUUAUUGGGCGUAAAGGGCGCGUAGGCGGCUUCACAGGUCCGCUGUGAAAACUCGAGGCUCAACCUCGAGCUGUCGGUGGAAACCGUGUGGCUAGAGUCCGGAAGAGGAGAGUGGAAUUCCCGGUGUAGCGGUGAAAUGCGCAGAUAUCGGGAAGAACACCCGUGGCGAAGGCGGCUCUCUGGGACGGUACUGACGCUGAGACGCGAAAGCGUGGGGAGCGAACAGG
rnacentral:rRNA from 1 species